rfam:Myotis lucifugus cont2.4042, whole genome shotgun sequence.
UAUCAGACAAUAAUUUCUCUCUCCUUAAUCACCUUACCACCACUAACGAGGCUAGGUGGUUGCGGACAC